rnacentral:tRNA from 1 species
UUCCUGGUGGCUCAGAGGGUAAAGAAUCUGCCUGCAAUGCAGGAGACCCAGGUUUGAUCCCUGGGUGGGGAA